GGUUGAAUGAAUCAGAGUGAGGUAAAUUGUAGAGGUCAUGUAUGACCGUUAUUUUACAAGGUUAGCAGAGCAAAAGCCUAUGAAACUUAUAGCGCUAUUUGUCAUUGGCGCACACAUUUGUAAACGUAACCUGAACAUGAAGUCACCCACACGGAUGCUGUAAUUGAAGGAAUGAAGUAACGGACGACUCACAGACCUUGAAAGCGGUAAAAUCCUCGUCUUAUUUGCGCAGAGUCAAGCGGAUUCCAUCCGUUUGAUACCGGAGUCGCAGUCGUCAAGAAACGAGGAGAAUUGACAAGCAGAAGUACACACACAAGGGAUACGACCACCUCUUCCAUAUAACUGAUAUGCAUUGAAAAGCAGGAGGAAUUCCUAGUUAUCCUCCUGUUAAUUACGUUAACUUGUAUACCGCACAAUUCGAGCGUAUAACGACCAUUGCGACAGGCUAACGGGUUAGAGGCUCCGAUGGGUUUAUGCAAUUCGUAAACUCAACAAGCACACGAAGGCCAUUUUGAUUGUCGAGCAUGAUAACACUCGUGGAUUCGGUGAGAUCAGCUCACGAAGAUUUCUUUCACCUGCAAUCUGCAAUCUCCCUUUCAAAUGACCUCAUAAUUAAUUCAUUUUCCCGUCGGAGGGAUUGGACUACAAAUGGUAAUUACAUAUGUGUUCAGCGGAAGCGCGCUAAUUUAUGCAUUGCUGUACAAACCCCUUCUCUUUCAACAAGUGCGGUUCUGCUACAGCAAACAGUAAAUAUAUAGCCCUUCAGAACUUCACUAGAACUAACAAUACAAGCUCUUAUGAGAGAUACAUGCGCCAAGCGUAGAAAUAAUCAGCUUUAUUGUUGAUGCAAAAGGUGCUGUUCUGGGCUCUGCCAAAUGAAUGGGUGGGAGGGAUAAACUUCUCAUCCAAUUGCGGAUAAAAACCCUCGAUGAAUUAAAUCGAUGAAUCAAAUAACGAAUCAAAUACCACUUGCAAUCAAAGUUACUGCAAUGAUAUGUUUAAUGAUGGUCCGAAAUAAAUAGGUUUUUUUUCUAGGAAUUGUUUUUGUUUUAAAGUUGUUGUGAAUGGACUUUGAUGACAUGUACGCCGGUAUUAUAAGCGUUACUAAUAACAUUAGUUCUCAACCACCAGGAAGAUAAACAUCAGAAACAUAAGAAAUCCUUCAUAAUCUUUUUCUCGAACAAUUUUUGAAGUCAGUCUUAAAGAACAAAUUCAUUAGAAAUGGAGUUUUUUUGUAUACUUUAAGGAUGGUAAGAGAAAUAUAACAUCGACAGUAGCUGUAAUCGAUGUUGACUAAAAAAAUGGGAAAUCGACUUAUACAAGAUGGUCUUGGUCUUAGACGCCCCGCAUUAUUCAGAGUUUAAAAAAAUACCAUAUUAACACCUAGAUUUUUGAAAAUGGUAAUAUCACAUGAAAGAAUGCUAAUUCUGUAUACACUGCCGCCGACACUGGCUAUAUUGGUUUAACGAGUUCUAUUCAAAGCAGUGCCGAACAGGCUAUUGUUGACUUAGAUCUUGUUUAUUUUACGGGAGGAAAAAAAAUAUGGUUAGUAUGAGAGCAAGUGUAAUUUGUGGUUUUAUAAGGUAGCCAAUCCCCAAUAAUGCAUUGAAUGUGGAUAGACAAAUCUGACGCCUUCGACAUUAUAAACGUACAUUUCAACCGGAAUUCCGAUAUUUUGUUUAACUGUAGAGAGAAUUCCUGGGGUCAUGGAUCUCGUUGCCUGGGAGAGAAACAUGUCGAAUAUUCUACUAGAUCAAGAAAUAUAUUAAAUAUUUAUUAGGAAUAAAACCUUUGACGCUUCCGC